rnacentral:rRNA from 1 species
GACGAACUGCCCAAACGUUGUUCGGAAUCACUGGGCAUAAAGGGCGCGUAGGCGGCAUACCAAGUCAGGGGUGAAAUCCGGCAGCUUAACUGUCGAAGUGCCUUUGAUACUGGGAUGCUCGAGGAAGGUAGGGGUCUGUGGAACUUCCGGUGGAGCGGUGAAAUGCGUUGAUAUCGGAAGGAACGCCGGUGGCGAAAGCGACGGACUGGACCUUUUCUGACGCUGAGGCGCGAAAGCCAGGGGAGCAAACGGG